CGCUGGCGGCGUGCCUUACACAUGCAAGUCGACCGAUCUUCUUCGGAAGAGAGCGGCGGACGGGUGAGUAACGCGUGGGUAACCUGCCCUGUACACACGGAUAACAUACCGAAAGGUAUGCUAAUACGGGAUAACAUAAGAAAGUCGCAUGGCUUUCUUAUCAAAGCUUUUGCGGUACAGGAUGGACCCGCGUCUGAUUAGCUAGUUGGUAAGGUAACGGCUUACCAAGGCGACGAUCAGUAGCCGACCUGAGAGGGUGAUCGGCCACAUUGGAACUGAGACACGGUCCAAACUCCUACGGGAGGCAGCAGUGGGGAAUAUUGCACAAUGGGCGAAAGCCUGAUGCAGCAACGCCGCGUGAGCGAUGAAGGCCUUCGGGUCGUAAAGCUCUGUCCUCAAGGAAGAUAAUGACGGUACUUGAGGAGGAAGCCCCGGCUAACUACGUGCCAGCAGCCGCGGUAAUACGUAGGGGGCUAGCGUUAUCCGGAAUUACUGGGCGUAAAGGGUGCGUAGGCGGUCUUUCAAGUCAGAAGUGAAAGGCUACGGCUCAACCGUAGUAAGCUUUUGAAACUGUAAGACUUGAGUGCAGGAGAGGAGAGUGGAAUUCCUAGUGUAGCGGUGAAAUGCGUAGAUAUUAGGAGGAACACCAGUUGCGAAGGCGGCUCUCUGGACUG
rnacentral:rRNA from 1 species